GGGGAAUUUUGGACAAUGGGCGCAAGCCUGAUCCAGCCAUGCCGCGUGUCUGAAGAAGGCCUUCGGGUUGUAAAGGACUUUUGUCAGGGAAGAAAAGGCUGUUGCUAAUACCGACAGCUGAUGACGGUACCUGAAGAAUAAGCACCGGCUAACUACGUGCCAGCAGCCGCGGUAAUACGUAGGGUGCGAGCGUUAAUCGGAAUUACUGGGCGUAAAGCGAGCGCAGACGGUUACUUAAGCAGGAUGUGAAAUCCCCGGGCUCAACCUGGGAACUGCGUUCUGAACUGGGUGACUAGAGUGUGUCAGAGGGAGGUAGAAUUCCACGUGUAGCAGUGAAAUGCGUAGAGAUGUGGAGGAAUACCGAUGGCGAAGGCAGCCUCCUGGGAUAACACUGACGUUCAUGCUCGAAAGCGUGGGUAGCAAACAGGAUUAGAUACCCUGGUAGUCCGCGCCCUAAACGAUGUCAAUUAGCUGUUGGGCAACUUGAUUGCUUAGUAGCGUAGCUAACGCGUGAAAUUGACCGCCUGGGGAGUACGGUCGCAAGAUUA
rnacentral:rRNA from 1 species